rnacentral:SRP_RNA from 1 species
GCCGAGCUUGGUAGCGCAAGCUUGUGACCCAAGUGGGGGCAUUAAGGUGAUGGGGACACUAUAGAUAAAGCCCUCCACAGAAGUGGAUUUGGUUGGGCCCCCAAUGAUAACUGGGUGACCAUGCAAACAGUAUUUGUGUAAUACUGGCACGGCACGUCCUCCUGUGGAGAACUUUGCAGAGGUUGAGUUUGGUUUCGGUGCUUUAGUAGCACACCUUAUUGCUGUCUUCUCAGAGCAGCGCUUCUUCCUCUCGUUGGCAACGUCAGUUUGUCAAAGACCAGUUUGCGCCACCACCAUAAUGUCUCAACGGUUUGCCAUAGUUUGGACCAUCACCUUU